rnacentral:tRNA from 1 species
GGAGAAGUCGCGUAGUCCGGUCGAGCGCGCACGAUUGGAAAUCGUGUAGGCCCCAAAAGGGUCUCGAGGGUUCGAAUCCCUCCUUCUCCGCCA